rnacentral:tRNA from 1 species
GCAGGUGUCCCCGGGGGUGUUUCUGCCUUCCAAGCUGAAAGACAGGGUUCGACUCCCUGCAUCUGCUCCA